rnacentral:rRNA from 1 species
AGUGAACGCUGGCGGUAGGCCUAACACAUGCAAGUCGAACGGCAGCACAGUAAGAGCUUGCUCUUACGGGUGGCGAGUGGCGGACGGGUGAGGAAUACAUCGGAAUCUACUUUUUCGCGGGGGAUAACGUAGGGAAACUUACGCUAAUACCGCAUACGACCUACGGGUGAAAGCAGGGGAUCUUCGGACCUUGCGCGAUUGAAUGAGCCGAUGUCGGAUUAGCUAGUUGGCGGGGUAAAGGCCCACCAAGGCGACGAUCCGUAGCUGGUCUGAGAGGAUGAUCAGCCACACUGGAACUGAGACACGGUCCAGACUCCUACGGGAGGCAGCAGUAGGGAAUAUUGGACAAUGGGCGCAAGCCUGAUCCAGCCAUACCGCGUGGGUGAAGAAGGCCUUCGGGUUGUAAAGCCCUUUUGUUGGGAAAGAAAAGCAGCAGGUUAAUACCCCGCUGUUCUGACGGUACCCAAAGAAUAAGCACCGGCUAACUUCGUG